rnacentral:lncRNA from 1 species
AAGAAAUUUGUCAGAACUAACCAUAAAGAACCCAUAAGACUAUGGGUACCUAAAUCUCAAAUUGUAUUUGCUACAAAUAUGCUUCAAGGGAGAAGCAAAGUAGCAGUCACAAUAGCUGGACAAUGGCUACUCACGACAUAUGAUAGGAGAAAGGCUUAUUUUCUAAACCCUGAUGUAACACCCCAAAAUUUGCCCUCCUUAUUCAUGCAUUCAUUUAGCAUUUCAUAUUGCAUUUCAUCAUGUCAAUCAGAAUUAGAUCCAAGAAAUUUAAAAAAAUAAUAAUAAUAAUAAAAAAAACGAAGAAAAAAAAAACGAAAAAAAUAAAUAAAAAAAUAAAAAUAAUAAUAAAAAAAUAAAUAAAAUAUAAUAGAAAAACUUGGACUUUGACCUCUCUCAUUUGAGCCCACAAAGCCAUGAAAAUCAGGUUAUAAAAGAGGGAGAUCAGACAGAAAAAGGAAGAGAAGCAAAAUACUCUGAGGUUUCCUUGAAACAAAACCCUAGACAAAACCUGAAGAGAAAC